rnacentral:ncRNA from 1 species
ACAGCACAAACUGAUCAGGCAAGGAACCCUAGCGGUUCAUGAUGCCGGGCCGAUUCGGCAGCGGAUGUAUUCAGCAUCUGUGGGACAG